GCUGGUGUAGCUCAAUUGGUAGAGCACCUGAUUUGUAAUCAGGCGGUUGCGGGUUCGAGUCCCAUCGCCAGCACCA
rnacentral:tRNA from 1 species